rnacentral:lncRNA from 1 species
GCUGCAGUUUCCAGGGUGAACAGACGCAAAGGGGACACUAAGCACCCCCUCAAAUGCCUCACGGACAAGUUUUGGAAAACACCCCAAAUCCUUAUUGCUUCUGAUGGGUAAAAUAAAUUCGUGCAAAUCAAUUUUUUUAAUCAGUUGUCUUAUAUGAUAAUGUGUGGGACAUAUAUAGAUUGAAUUGGAUUGCCAUGUCAUUGGUUGUUGUGGGAAGUAAUCAAUAUGGAUCAAAUUUUAAAUUUGCAAACAUGUAGCAAAAUGGACAUAUGGCGUGUUUUUAUACAAAGAUUGGGUGGUCAUAUAUCGCUUUAAGCUUGAGAUGAUCCCAUACAAGACACAAAUAUAUGUAUAAUCUGGCAGAUAAGCAAUAGUUACGUAAUACUUUUGUUGCUUAUGGUCAUAGUGAUAUUAACACGUAAGGAAUAUGUACAAUUUUGCUUUCAUAUCUCAGUAUAGUCAAUUGUAUAUGACUAGUUAAUUAUGAAAUUGAUGCAUAACUUGUGAAUUGACUGAGAAUGACAGAAAGCAUCCGGUGGCAAGAGUAAGAACAAUAUACAAAUAAAAUGAGGUUUGUAGUAAUUAUGUGACAAUUCUCAUUUCUAUUUUAUCUAUUUAUUUGAGAAUUGUGGUUGUUCAUGUGAUUAUAAAUAUGUUUAAAAAGAAGUGGUGAACAUAUGAAGGCAUAAGGUAUGUAUUUCAUUCAGAGCAUGUGACUAAAUUGAUAAGCAUAAGUCUUCAAACUUGUAUAUAGUUUAUUAGUUUUUCCCAUGCCUAAAGAAUUUAAACAAUGAUUUAAUCAGUCAAUUUUUAUGUGCCAUAAGGGGAGAAGAAAAGACAUUAUUCAAGGCUAAUGUAUGGCAUGUAUUGGAGAUGUUUCUUUUGGAAGAAAAGAAUUUUCGUAGUUCCUUUAUUUAAUUUGGUAUUUACAAGGCUAAUGCACGAUUUUGAUGCUAAUUUUUUAGGAGCCUUGUACUAUGGAAAGAAAGGUACAAAAGAAAAGGAACUCGUUUGACUUAAGAAAACAUUUGAGCAAUUUAGUUUUUAAAUUAAAGGAAUGUAUUGUUCUUUUGCAUUACAUAAAGUAUUUCUAUUUCAAGCAAUUGACUCCGUAAUGAUAAGUAUUGACAUUCUUGUGGUGGAAUAAAACUUGUUCUAUAUGUGAUUAAUCUCUUUCAAGUAUACUGUCAGGUUUAUUGAGAUUAAUUUAAUGUCAAAGGUAGUCAUGAAGGAAUUAGUGCCAUUUGUUGUCAAGACUCGAAGCUCGAAUCAAGUUAUCAUAAUUUUGUCACUUACAGUUAAUUAAUCCAUGUGACUUCUUGUAUCGUUUCAGGGCGGAGUUGAUCAAUGCCCUUUCAACUAAGCAAGCCGCAACGGCUUAGUUGACGAUGAGACUGUGUUUUUGAGUUACUUCGGUCAACUUUGCAUCUUAAUUAGAAUAAAAGGGAUAAUCUUCUUGCCUACAGGUGUGGAUUACUUCUUUUAGUUUAAUUAAGAUGGCAUAGUAUGGGUUUUAUUUCACAAAAGUUGUGAAAACCUUCAACUUGCCUACAGGUGUUGAAGUUUUUCAUGAAGAAACUUUUGUGACAUAAAAUCUAGUACUAGAAACUAGUUAAUUUUCUUGCCUACAGGUGUAAAUUAAUUUAGUUUCAUGAAGUUUAUUGGGAUAAAGUUCCAUGCCAUUAGUGACUAAUAUUUCCACAAUGAGCCCCAUAAAAGGUUGUGGUUUGAAGGCAUGGAAAUCGGUUGCAUCAUGAUGUAUUUUGUAUCUCUUCAUGAGACUUGAUGAUGCAAAGUAUUGGACCCAUGAAGGUUAAUCAAGGAUUGCUAAGGUAUGCAUUGUUUAAGUCUUAUGCUUGUAAAUCUUUUCAAUUUGAAUUAUGAUGUCGGUUUAGAGGAUGAAAUUUGACUACUAAAGUUUCUUUUGGACAUCAAUAUUGAAAUGAUAUGAAAUUGAAUUUGUUAUGGAUGUAUAAAUUCAUGAUAGAUGCACAUAAUUGUUUCUGGCAGAUUGUGUGUCUUAAUUUAAAUCGGGUGAAUGACACGUCUAAUGGUCACCAAAUGACCUGAAUUUUGGAUAUGUUCAACAUAUAGAUGUCUAAUAUGUGAAAAUUUUCGUAAUUGUCUGCCAUGUAUUUUAAUUAUGGUGAAUUCACUAGUAAUCCAUGCUAGUAUAGACAGUUACUGGCGGAUUAUGUUGGUUUUUUUUUUUUUUUUUUGAGACGUGACUUUAGACUACUAUUUUGAUCCAAAACGGCUCUAUAUUUUUAUUUUGUGAAUAUUAAUAUGUCUAUUUUGAUCAGUAUAAAUUUGGUAGCAAUCAAGCUUAUAAAUUAAUUAUGAUUAAUUCUAAAGUAAGUGUAACUCGUUGCUGAAAAGUCUGUUUGACAACCAUAUGUUGAUUGUAAUAUCUAUUUUAUUAUGUCUAAAAUAUAAGGCAAUUUUCUUUAGGUACAUCUUUGAAAGAAUAUAUUAACGAGUGUUUGCCCAAGUGGGAGAAUUAGUGAACGAAAAUUGGGCUUCACACUCAUUAACUUAUUUGCAAGUAUAAACUCUGAAAACUUAGUGGGAGUUGUUCUAAAAUUUUGAGCACUAAGUGGACUUGCAUGAAUCUAUUAAAGCAUUAUUCUAUCUUCCAUGAUUUUGUGUUACUUGAAUGUCUAUAAUAUGUUUAAGUUGCAUGAAUGGAUACUUGGUAUAUGCGUACAUUUUCUAUUACUUGCAAUCAUUUAGAUUUCUCGGUUGAUCAUUUGUUUUGGGGCUCAUAAGGACUUAGCAUGAGUGUGGACUUAUUAAUACAUAUAAGAUGGUUGUUGGAUGCAAGUUUUGUGUAACAGUGGUGAAUGCUUUCAUGUUUAGUUGUACCUUUCAUUAAGGUAAUAUGCAUUCAUUGACUGAGUAAGGCUAUUCCCAAAGGCAUAUUUUCAAAAGUAUGAUUUAUGUAUUGAUUUGCAAAUUAAGUAAUGAUGUUGCAGAUCAGUGGGAGUUUGAGCUUCAUGUUAGUAAUGCCUUACAUUUGCAGAUGACCUAUAAGGUAUGUAUAGAAUCCAUGUAUUCAAUUUAAUCUCCAGUUGGAUUCAUUAAGUCACAUUUUUCGUGUGCUAGUCAAUUAUCUGAUGAAAUAUAUAUCAGAUAUCAAGUUGUUAUCAAAUUGCAUAUUAAAUGCCAUGACAUGGUUUAUGCACUACCUCAGUUGUGAGGAUUUCCAUCUUGCCCGCAGGUGUUGGAAAUCACUAUGAAAGUAACUGGUAUGGUGCAUAGAUCAGUGUCAAAAACAUAUUAAUUCAUCUUGCUCACAAGUGUUGAAUUAAUUUGUUUUAUGAAGUUUUUGGGAUAUUUUACUUGGACAUGUGCCUAUUUGGUAUUUUCAGUUGUGUCCGUUGGCUACAAACAUUGUUUAUAUUAUUACUGAUCUAAUGAAAGUGAUGCAUGAUUGUUUUGGAGAUGUAUUCACACCUGCAGGUUAUGGUGGUUUCAUUAGAUAAAGGAUAUCUGCAUUGGCAUAUUUAAGGCUUCAAAAAAGCAUAAAGUGUAACUUGUGAGUUAUAAUAAGGUGGACCUGAGAUGAUAAAGUAAGACAUUUUGGUUAAUUUAAAGUUUAUUUAAAGUUUCAUCUCUUGAUCAUAAUUUGUGUUUCAUGUGAAUGAGGAUCUUAGCAUGUGUGAUUAUGAAGGUUAUGGGUUGUGUCAAUCCUACAACCUUGUUAGUUCCAUGUUAA